rnacentral:rRNA from 1 species
CAACAGGGAUUGCCUCAGUAACGGCGAGUGAAGCGGCAACAGCUCAAAUUUGAAAUCUGGCUCCUUCGGGGUCCGAGUUGUAAUUUGCAGAGGAUGCGUCGGGUACGGGUCCCUACCGAGUUCCCUGGAACGGGACGCCAUAGAGGGUGAGAGCCCCGUCUGGUAGGAUACCCAGCCCAUGUGACGCUCCCUCGACGAGUCGAGUAGUUUGGGAAUGCUGCUCUAACGGGAGGUAUACUCCUUCCAAAGCUAAAUACCGGCUGGAGACCGAUAGCGCACAAGUAGAGUGAUCGAAAGAUGAAAAGCACUUUGAAAAGAGAGUCAAACAGCACGUGAAAUUGUUAAAAGGGAAGCACUCGCUACCAGACUUGGGUUCGGCGGUUCAACCGGGGCCACGCCCCGGGGCAUUCCGCCGGCUCAGGCCAGCAUCAGCUUUCCGUCGGGGGCAAAGACGUCGGGAAUGUAGCUCCUCUUCGGGGGAGUGUUAUAGCCCGGCGUGUCAUACCCUUCGGGGGGCUGAGGUACGCGCUUCUGCAAGGAUGCUGGCGUAAUGGUAGCUAGUGACCCGUCUUGAAACACGGACCAAGGAGUCAACCUUAUGUGCGAGUGCCCGGGCGUAAAACCCCAGCGCGGAAUGAAAGUGAACGUAGGUGAGAGCUUCGGCGCAUCACCGACCGAUCCUGAUGUCCUCGGACGGAUUUGAGUGAGAGCAUAUAGGGUUGGACCCGAAAGAAGAUGAACUAUGCGUGUGUAGGGUGAAGCCAGAGGAAACUCUGGUGGAGGCUCGCAGCGGUUCUGACGUGCAAAUCGAUCGUCAAACAUGCGCAUGGGGGCGAAAGACUAAUCGAAUCUU